ACCCACCGUUGUACUUCAACUACGAGAACUA
rnacentral:tRNA from 1 species